rnacentral:tRNA from 1 species
GUAGGCCUCGAUCGCGGCAGGGACCGGCCAUCAGCCUUCCCAAGGCUGGUGUCGAGGGUUCGAAUCCCUUCACCUUCUCCA